GAUGAACGCUAGCGGCAGGCCUAAUACAUGCAAGUCGGACGGGAUUCAGGAGCUUGCUUCUGAUGAGAGUGGCGCACGGGUGCGUAACACGUAUGUAACCUACCUUCUCCUGGGGAGUGGCGGCUGAAAGAGGGAAUAAGACCCCAAUAAAUCAAAGCACCGCAUUGUGUAAGGAGGAAAUAUUUAAAGGGUAAAAAAGGGCAUGCGGAACAUUAGGCAGAUGGAGGGGGACCGGCCCACCAAGGCGCCGGAGCUUAUGGGAUGUGAGAGGGUGGCCCCCCACACUGGUACUGCGACCCGGACCAGACUCGUACGGGAGGCAGCAGUAAGGAAUACUGGUCAAUGGGCGGAAGCCUGAACCAGCCAUGCCGCGUGCAGGAAGCCGGCCCUACGGGUUGUAAACUGCUUUUAUACGGGAAUAAACCCAGAUACGUGUAUCUGGCUGAAUGUACUGUAAGAAUAAGGAUCGGCUAACUCCGUG
rnacentral:rRNA from 1 species